AAAAAGACUGUCUUUUCUGAGACUUUUAGUAAAAAUUAAGCUAUAAUUUUCAUAGUGGUUGAUAUAAUCUAAAUACAAAUGAGUAAUUAGGUAACUUCAUUAUGUAGUUUCUAUACACAAUUUUCUGCACAGUAGUAGUUUAUUACAACCAAGUAAAAGCCACUUACCUGUGCUCCUACGUGGAUAUGAAUUAGACAUGCUAUUUUAUUUUCUACAACGGUCUGGAGAACAGGGUUAGGAGGUAAAAGGUCUCACAGCCUGAGGUGGAGACUAGAAGAACAGCUGUUUCCACCACCCUUUCCACCAUGUGCAUUUUUAGACCCAAGCAUUGUUUGUUCUCUGUUCCCUGCUGCAGGCAUUUCAAAGCCAGCUUCAGCCCCGCCUCACGGAUACAUGUGCUCAGUGGUGCUGCUCACUGCUUUAUGUUUAACUGGUAGUCUCUGCCACUGUGUUCUCCUGAACUUUAAAUUUCCUCAGUUAUUACAACCAAUUAUUCGGUAUAUACUUUGUGUUGGACAAUCUUUCUCUUGUGAACAUCUAUGAGUUUCGAAAACAAAAAUCAUCAGAGCUGAAUCUGAGAAAUAGAACUGUUUUCGUCACAAACAAGUUACAGUUACGAGGUAGCUACAGUGCAGAAGGAGAUCCAAAGAAGAGUACAGAAAUCACGCUGAGAUGAGGAAAUGGAGACCAGAGUUUGGGGGAGGCUGAGAAACCAGAAUUUGUGGCACAGAGUACCAUACAGUAGGUUGCUGCCCAGCAAUGAAGAGAUCCAGAUUGAAAACAGAAAUCAUCACAGCUGAAUCUGAAAACUAGAACUAUUUUAGUCAAAAACAAGUUAUAGUUACAAGGUACUGAAAAAAAAUCGUGAUUCUGCAAGUAAUUCCAAAAGAGGAAUUUUUUAAAUGUUUUGAGCAACGUACAGUGUCAUUGGAAUAGGGUAGAUUAGGUACAUACUUGGAAGAAACGAAGGAAGAAAGGAAGCAAGCAUCACAGGCCGGAUGGACAGAUACUAUGUCUCAUUGUUUCUUUUCUUAAUAGUUUUUAGGAAAACUUUCCAAACCCAAAUAAACCACCAAGUCCUGGUUGCUUUUCUUUGUCUUUGGAUAAUGUCUUUCACAAAAACGAAGCCCACCCUUGAUUAUCUUCACUUACAGGGUAAUGCCUGUGGGUCCAAUGGAGGCUCUGGCUGAAUACUAAGCUGUAUGUGCAUAACACAAAGCUCCAUGGGUCUGAGCAAAGAAUGUACAGGCAGCUGUAAGCUGAACAAUUCUCGGAGCUCACAGGGGAUUCGGAUACAUCUGAGUUCCAACCCACCAAAGGGGAAGAGUUCACUGAAC
rnacentral:lncRNA from 10 species